UGCGCAGCAGCAAGGAUAUUGUAUUUCUCUCUUCUAACUCUUCUCUUCUAACGUCUAUCCAUGGCAUCCUCCUUCCUGAAUCUGCCAGGCCCGUGGAUUUGGACAUCAACCAGAUCCUUGAGGAUAAUUUGGCACAAGGACACACGCCAUUAAACGACACGUUUGAGGAGGUAGAGCAACUGAUGGAGGACACGCAUAAUAAACUGGAGGACGCGGUGCACAGAUGGACAAUGAGAGUGCAAAGUCCAGCUUGCAUCCCAAUAACCUUCCCUCAAAUUACCACAACAAAAGCACUUCUGAGAGUGUGGUUGAAACUCAAUCCAUCCACACCAUAGAGAUAGUACACAAGGAGACAGACAACAGAACAGGAGAGACCCACAUCACCAGAACAGUUAUCCAGUCCAGUGGCAAGGAAAAUAAUAUUAAUCAUGUGAGUCAAAAACAAUCUUUGGAAUUUCCCUCCAUCAUGAUUUACAACAGAUUUUUUUUUUAACAUAUAUUAUCCACAAUAUCUUGAACACUAUAACUCUAACUGGUGUUUUGUGUUUAAUAAAGACAGUGGGCAUAAGAUGAAUACAAUUCCAUCCUUAAUGCAAGUCACAAUUCAUGAAAGAUUUAACAAGUCAUCGGCUGUGUUUCCUCUUUCUGUGCUGUUCUGCAUGCGGCCACAACUGCUGUCAUGUUUGGGAAUCUCAUUUCUCUUUCCCCAUGCCCUGUACGCCUCUCCA